rnacentral:SRP_RNA from 1 species
GCUGGGCAUGGUGGCUCAUGCCUGUAAUCCCAGCACUUUGGGAGGCUGAGGCAGGAGGAUCACUUGAACUCAGGAGUUUGAGAGCAGCCUGGGCAAUAUAGUGAGACCCUGUCUCUG